AGAAAAGCGAGUGCGGAAACACGUCUCCCUUUCAAACCACUGUGAAAACACCCGUUGCUUCGGCAGCUCCCUCGCAGCGAUGCGGGGAGGUCAGCCUGCCUCCGGCACCAAACCAAACCUUUCCGUAACAGCAGUCUGAACAACGAAAAUAAAUCGUUA
rnacentral:misc_RNA from 1 species